CUAUACUUCCACCAUUCACUUGUUUUGGGCCAAAUAUUUUGUAGUUUAACUUUUUAUUUGGUUUCUCUUUGUGGGCCGCUCCUAGUGCUAUAUUUGUACAGAAAAAGAUUCAAGUACAACAACAAAGGAGGUAACUAUAUUUUCAUCACUUCUUCUUAUUUCUAGCAUUUCUUUAUUUAAAUUAUUUAUUAGAUUAUGAUGUAUUUACGUUAUUAUUCUAUUUUAUUUGUGAAUUUAAAUUUUACCUAUAUUUAUUUCCUAGGUUACAAUUUUUAAAAAGUUUCUAAUUGUUUCUGUUUUGGUACAUAAAAAACUAUUUAGCAAUAUGAUAAAGAUAUUUUAAGCCAAUUUUUACAACAGCUAAAAUGAAGUCUUCCCUAUAGAAUAAUAGUAAGAGUGAAAUUCAUUAAUAAUUUGAUUUAUGUUUUCAAAAAUUAUGAUUGUUCAAAUAUUCAUAGUAAUCACAUUAAAAAGAGUGUGACAUAAUAUCUAGUAUAUCAAAAUAAAGUAAAAAAUUAAUUACUUUAAAAUCUUAAUUGAAAAUUUGUCAAUAUUGUAUAAAUGAACAUCUUUUAACAUUAUUAAAUUUACAACAAAGUGGAAGUGAUGAUGGACUAUAUUUCUUGUACUAGGUAAUAUCAUCUACUACAAGUUCUAUCUUGAUGCAUUGGCCAACCUAUGUAGUGGUGUUUUCAACUCAAGCGCAGUAAGGCAAAACGUGGAAGUAAUAUGUUGGUAAGUUUAAUUCUCUAUAAAUUUUCAGUUUAAUUCUCUCUAAAAUUAAGAGUAAUUACUAAUUUCAGUGCUUCAUGUUUUUAACAUUACCAACUUACUUUUUAUGGAAAAUCAUUGCUAAUUAAAUAUGAAUGAUAGAUGAUGCAGUGAAUGUGUAUAAAACCCAUUCACUAUUAGUUCUUCCAAUUUUUGAAAUUACCCUUAAGGUCUCAAAAGCACAAUUUAGAUACAGGAAGGGUUAAUGUGUCUUGAAUUUACAAACAGAAUGGUAACCGAGAAUUGCCAUGGGUACAACUAAGGAAAUUGAUAGAAAAGGCUCGAAAUGAUAUUCAUAAAAAGCUUGGUGAAUGGAAGACUUCUUCUUUACCAACGAAAUCACUAAAACGAAUGAAUACUAUUGUGGAAGACAAAGCCAAAAAUUAAGAAAGAGAAGAUGUGCCCAGAACAGAGGUGGCUGAUGCAAAGUAGAAAAAGGAAAGCAUUUAUGAUGUUUUGUUUUAUACAAGCUGAAACCGUCCUAAGGAAUGAAUAUGAGUCAGAUUUGAAUCUCUGAAAUUUUAUUUUAUAUUUUUAUUUAUUAAAGACAUUUAGUAAAUGAAUUUUUCUGUAUUUGUUGAGACUGAUUAUGAAGUUUGUUAUUUUUUAUGUACAUUGGUGGGGCUGCAUUAUUGGUUUUCCUUUUUGGAGUUUUCUUAAAGAGUAAUUUCAGUUGCAUGUGCAGUGUGAACUUGUCUUAAAAGAAAAUUAGUUAUUGCAGUUAUGUAUCUCACAAUCCAUAUUCGGCAACAUUUAAGUCUGUUCAAGUCGAAGGGUUUAUCUUUGUUUUUCUGUUUGUUAUGUAUCUAACAACCAAUAAUUGUUUGUUAAAAUUGCUUAAACAUUGUGACUUGUUUAGUGACGAAAAAUAGGAUGGGAAGAAAAUUUUGGGAGGGUCCCACAAAAUAUUUCCACCCCACUUUGGAUAGAAAAUGGUAAGAAGCCGACCAUCAAAGUAAAAUUACAAUCUUAUCCAUAAAACAUCAUGGAUGAGGUACUAUGGUGUGGAUACACAAAUAUAAUAGAUUGAGAUGCUUUGAAAUUUGUGUUAAUUUAAUUAAUUAAUUUUAAUAUAAAUAUAUUUUUUAUACAUCAUUACUUAUAGAAAUAUUUAAUUCUAAAAUAAAUAUGAAUAUUUGUAUGUUAAUUUUGUAUCUCUUUAAUUAUGAAUAUUUAUGUCAUUUUGUCUCAUCGCAUAUUUUAUAUCCUCUCUUUUUCGGUCAUACCAAACAACUAAAAAAUCAUUCUAGUUUCUACUAUUUUUUUUCUUCUUCAAUUUUCAUUCCUUGUUUUUUCCUCUUAUUUUCACUCACAAACCAAACAUAGUGUUAAUGAGGACAUUUCUCUUCAUAACCUCACUGAAUGGUUGUAUUUUUUGCAACACAAGUCUCUGAAGGUGCACAUUUAUGACCAUACUUCUAAUCUAAAGGCUGAAAGCUACCAAGUCUCAACUUGUUGAUGUUGAAUCCAAACUCAAUAAAGUUGUGGCUGAGAAAUGGUCUUAUGAAGAUGCUUGUGGUGUGCUAGGUUCCUUGCAUUUGAGAUGACCUCUAGAGUUUGUUCUAAACUUUAAAGCUUUACAUUGCUACAUUGUUGAUUAUUGUGGGAGUUAGAAUCAUCUCCAAUACUAAAGAGGUAAGUGGUGUUUUGCUUUUAGUUUUAAGGGUGAAAAUGUCAUCCUACUAUGAAAAAAAGGUAGUCAUUGUAUUUUAUUUUCUCUUUAUUUUGUCACAACAUUUCCCACUCCAAUACUGGAGAGAAUCUUAACUUAAAAUUUUAAAGUCGACAAGAAAUGAGGUUUGGUAAAUUUUUUUGCAUUAUUUUUUCUAGAUAUGUUCUUGCUUGCCAUGUUUUAUGAAGAAAUCGUGAUUGUUAUUAUAUGGAAUCAGUUUCUCUCCAUAGUUGGACACAACCCAUGUAUCUAAGUGCUCACUUAGUCAAUUUUGGAUAUCAAGGCUUUGCGAAUGAG
rnacentral:lncRNA from 1 species